rnacentral:misc_RNA from 1 species
AGAUGACCCACUGCAUAGACCAUCUAUGGAUGACAUACUUAAAGUCCUUGUUAGAUUGCUAUGACUGCUAGAAGCAGAAAUUGGAGAAAUAUUAUCAAGAAGCAUCACUUUAGGCCAGUUCUGGUAUUAUCAGUUUGUAAUUGUAUCAUAUCCCACAAUAAAUUACAUGUAUGGUAUAUUGUAAAUUCAUGAAAAAUUAUUAUUAUUAUUAUUAU